rnacentral:rRNA from 1 species
GACGAACGCUGGCGGCGUGCUUAACACAUGCAAGUCGAACGGAAAGGCCCUGCUUUUGUGGGGUGCUCGAGUGGCGAACGGGUGAGUAACACGUGAGUAACCUGCCCUUGACUUUGGGAUAACUUCAGGAAACUGGGGCUAAUACCGGAUAGGAGCUCCUGCUGCAUGGGGGGGGUUGGAAAGUUUCGGCGGUUGGGGAUGGACUCGCGGCUUAUCAGCUUGUUGGUGGGGUAGUGGCUUACCAAGGCUUUGACGGGUAGCCGGCCUGAGAGGGUGACCGGCCACAUUGGGACUGAGAUACGGCCCAGACUCCUACGGGAGGCAGCAGUGGGGAAUAUUGCACAAUGGGCGGAAGCCUGAUGCAGCAACGCCGCGUGCGGGAUGACGGCCUUCGGGUUGUAAACCGCUUUCGCCUGUGACCAAGCGUGAGUGACGGUAAUGGGUAAAGAAGCCCCGGCUAACUACGUG